UACGUAGGGUGCGAGCGUUAAUCGGAAUUACUGGGCGUAAAGCGCACGUAGGCGGCUUUUUAAGUCGGGGGUGAAAUCCUGGAGCUCAACUCCAGAACUGCCUUCGAUACUGGAAAGCUCGAGUCCGGGAGAGGUGAGUGGAACUGCGAGUGUAGAGGUGAAAUUCGUAGAUAUUCGCAAGAACACCAGUGGCGAAGGCGGCUCACUGGCCCGGUACUGACGCUGAGGUGCGAAAGCGUGGGGAGCAAACAGG
rnacentral:rRNA from 1 species